GGCUGUGUGGUCUAGUGGUAUGAUUCUCGCUUCCGGGUGCGAGAGGUUUCGAGAUCGAUUUUCGACUCAGCCC